AUAACUAUAAUUAAACUUAUGUUAUCUCACGAAGUUGGGGGAGCUAAUCGUUAUAUAUUAUUAGAAAUAAGAUGUAGCAUAAUUAUUAGAUAGUAACUAUUAGGAGUGAUAGGCUUACCACACUCAACGAUAACUUGAUUUUUCAUAAAUCUAUUUAGUAUAUAAUUAUUUUGAAAGUGAAAAGGUUUUCAAAUAAAAUAAAAUGUUUAUAUUAUUUAUCAAAGUGUAAAGGCUUAUGGUUCAAUUCUAGUAAUAUAAUUAUAUAUAGAUUAUUUAAAAUAUGAUGAAAUAUGUAAAUAAAAGGUAAUAUUUAUAAUGUUAUUAUUAGUAAUACGUUAGGUGCUUUUAAUAAACUCGGCAAAGAGCCCUUUAACUGUUUAUCAAAAACAUUGCCAUUAGAGUUUAUUAUAUGGUAAUUUCUGCUCAAUGAAUCAUUAAAUAGCCGCAGUACUUUGACUGUGCAAAGGUAGCGUAAUCAAUUGGCUUUUAAUUGAAGUCCUGUAUGAAAGAACUAAUAAGGGGCAACUGUCUCAAAUGUAUUAUAUAAAUUUACUAAGUAAGUGAAAAUUCUUACACUUUAUUAAUAGACGAGAAGACCCUAGAAAUUUUAAGAAUUUAGAAUUAAUCUUUUUGUUGGGGCAACAUAGUAACAAAAUAAUCUAUUAAAUAGACAUGAAAGGUUUACCUUGAAAGAUUAAAUUACUCUAGGGAUAACAGCAUAAUUUAAUAUAAGUUUGUGACCUCGAUGUUGGAUUAGGGUGUUAACGUUUAAAAA
rnacentral:rRNA from 1 species